UACGUAGGGGGCAAGCGUUGUCCGGAUUUAUUGGGCGUAAGGAGCGUGUAGGCGGCCAGAUAGGUCAGCUGUGAAAACUCGAGGCUCAACCUCGAGAUGUCGGCUGAAACCAUCUGGCUAGAGUCCGGAAGAGGAGAAUGGAAUUCCCGGUGUAGCGGUGAAAUGCGCAGAUAUCGGGAAGAACACCCGUGGCGAAGGCGGUUCUCUGGGACGGUACUGACGCUGAGACGCGAAAGCGUGGGGAGCGAACAGG
rnacentral:rRNA from 1 species